rnacentral:rRNA from 1 species
UGGGGAAUAUUGGACAAUGGGCGAAAGCCUGAUCCAGCCAUGCCGCGUGAGUGAUGAAGGCCCUAGGGUUGUAAAGCUCUUUUGUGCGGGAAGAUAAUGACGGUACCGCAAGAAUAAGCCCCGGCUAACUUCGUGCCAGCAGCCGCGGUAAUACGAAGGGGGCUGGCGUUGCUCGGAAUCACUGGGCGUAAAGGGUGCGUAGGCGGGUUUCUAAGUCAGAGGUGAAAGCCUGGAGCUCAACUCCAGAACUGCCUUUGAUACUGGAAGUCUUGAGUUCGGGAGAGGUGAGUGGAACUGCGAGUGUAGAGGUGAAAUUCGUAGAUAUUCGCAAGAACACCAGUGGCGAAGGCGGCUCACUGGCCCGAUACUGACGCUGAGGCACGAAAGCGUGGGGAGCAAACA